rnacentral:rRNA from 1 species
CAGUCGCCGCGGUAAUACGUAGGGUGCAAGCGUUAAUCGGAAUUACUGGGCGUAAAGCGUGCGCAGGCGGUUCGUUAAGACAGAUGUGAAAUCCCCGGGCUUAACCUGGGAACUGCAUUAGUGACUGGCGGGCUAGAGUAUGGCAGAGGGGGGUAGAAUUCCACGUGUAGCAGUGAAAUGCGUAGGGAUGUGGAGGAAUACCGAUGGCGAAGGCAGCCCCCUGGGCCAAUACUGACGCUCAUGCACGAAAGCGUGGGGAGCAAACAGGAUUAGAUACCCGAGUAGUCCCUGUCUCUUAUAA